rnacentral:rRNA from 1 species
AGAACGAACGCUGGCGGCGUGCCUAACACAUGCAAGUCGAGCGCGAAAGGAGCAAUCCGAGUAGAGCGGCGCACGGGUGCGUAACACGUGGGUAAUCUGCCUCGAAGUCUGGGAUAACCAUUCGAAAGUUUGGCUAAUACCAGUUAAGCUCACGACGUCUUCGGACGUUGAGAGAAAAGGGGCCCGAAAGGGUCUCGCUUUGAGAUGAGCCCGCGGCCCAUCAGCUAGUUGGCGGGGUAACGGCCCACCAAGGCUACGACGGGUAGCUGGUCUGAGAGGACGAUCAGCCACACUGGAACUGAGACACGGUCCAGACUCCUACGGGAGGCAGCAGUGGGGAAUUUUGCACAAUGGGCGAAAGCCUGAUGCAGCAACGCCGCGUGUGUGAUGAAGGUCUUCGGAUUGUAAAGCACUUUCGACGGGGACGAUGAUGACGGUACCGUAGAAGAGCCCGGCUAACUCGUGCAGCAGCCGC